rnacentral:rRNA from 1 species
AAUUUUAAGGUCAAGCUACAAAGGGCGCAUGGUGAAUGCCUUGGCACUAGGAGCCGAAGAAGGACGCGAUAAGCUGCGAUAAGCCUUGGGUAGCCGCAAAUAGGCUGAGAUCCAGGGAUUUCCGAAUGAGGAAACUCACAUGGGUAACCCCAUGUAUCAUGCACUGAAUACAUAGGUGUAUGAGGGUAAACCCGGGGAACUGAAACAUCUAAGUACCCGGAGGAAGAGAAAGAAAAAUCGAUUUCCUAAGUAGCGGCGAGCGAACGGGAAAGAGCCCAAACCAGAAACUUGUUUCUGGGGUUGUGGAUAGAUCAUAAAAGAAGAGGUAUCUUAAUCGAAGAGGGCUGGAACGCCCUACCAUAGAAGGUAAUAGUCCUGUAGGUAAAAAGAGAAAACUUCGAGAUCUAAUCCAGAGUACCACGAGACACGUGAAACCUUGUGGGAAGCAGGGAGGACCACCUCCCAAGGCUAAAUACUACCUAGUGACCGAUAGUGAAGCAGUACCGUGAGGGAAAGGUGAAAAGAACCCCGGAAGGGGAGUGAAAUAGAACCUGAAACCGUGUGCCUACAACCGAUCGGAGCACGUUAAAGUGUGACGAUGUGCUUUU